GCCGUGGUUUACGGACCCGGUUUACAAUGAUCAAUGGAGCUAUGGGAACAGCAGACACCGCGAAGGAGCCUGCUGGCCUCCCAUCUGGAGCCUCACAGGCACUGAAGAGAGCAGCAGCUGAGGGUGUAUUUCGAAGGCGGGGGAUGACUAGCAAGUAUGCGCCAGAUGAGACCUCCGGGGUGACCUGGAAUUACAGAGGCCACUCAUUCUCGGAAUAGGGUUAUGAAAACUGUAAUAUUGUAGAGAUGAAAAGGACCUAUGAAGACCACCUGAUCUGUCAACUUUCUCAAAAGACCACACCUACAUGUAGACAAGUAGGUGUGUGACCUUCAAAGCUUUAGGCUCUCAGAACUUCCGGUGUCUCACUAUAUCAUGAAAGGAAGUUCUUCCUUUUGUGUGACCUAUAUAGUACAUGUUGCGGGCAAGUCCCUCUCAUUCCUGGAAGCUCGCUCAUUGAUGCUGGCCAGGGGUCUCCCCACAGCUUUGGAUAGAUGUCUAGAACCCUCCCUUCACUGGAGCAGUAGGUGCAGGGGAAAAUUGGAUGUGCUGGAAGAGAGAAGUUGGCAUGUGGGCCAGCCUGGUACCUGCACCUGACCCCCACCAUCAAC